rnacentral:rRNA from 1 species
AACCUCCGCAAUGUGAGAAAUCGCGACGGGGGGAUCCCGAGUGCCAUUCUUAACGGGAUGGCUUUUCAUUAGUGUAAAGAGCUUUUGGAAUAAGAGCUGGGCAAGACCGGUGCCAGCCGCCGCGGUAACACCGGCAGCUCUAGUGGUAACAAUUUUUAUUGGGCCUAAAGCGUCCGUAGCCGGUUUAAUAAGUCUCUGGUGAAAUCCUGCAGCUUAACUGUGGGAAUUGCUGGAGAUACUAUUAGACUUGAGACCGGGAGAGGUUAGAGGUACUCCCAGGGUAGAGGUGAAAUUCUGUAAUCCUGGGAGGACCGCCUGUUGCGAAGGCGUCUAACUGGAACGGUUCUGACGGUGAGGGACGAAAGUUAGGGGCGCGAACCGGAUUAGAUACCCGGGUAGUCCUAACUGUAAACGAUGCGGACUUGGUGUUGGGGUGGCUUUGAGCUGCUUCAGUGCCGAAGGGAAGCUGUUAAGUCCGCCGCCUGGGAAGUACGGUCGCAAGACUGAAACUAAAGGAAUU